rnacentral:rRNA from 1 species
AGUGAACGCUGGCGGUAGGCCUAACACAUGCAAGUCGAACGGCAGCACAGUAAGAGCUUGCUCUUACGGGUGGCGAGUGGCGGACGGGUGAGGAAUACAUCGGAAUCUACUUUUUCGUGGGGGAUAACGUAGGGAAACUUACGCUAAUACCGCAUACGACCUACGGGUGAAAGAAGGGGAUCUUCGGACCUUGCGCGAUUGAAUGAGCCGAUGUCGGAUUAGCUAGUUGGCGGGGUAAAGGCCCACCAAGGCGACGAUCCGUAGCUGGUCUGAGAGGAUGAUCAGCCACACUGGAGCUGGGGCACGGUCCCGACUCCUACGGGAGGCAGCGGUGGGGAAUCUUGGACAAUGGGCGCAAGCCUGAUCCAGCCAUUCCGCGUGGGUGAAGAAGGCCUUCGGGUUGUAAAGCCCUUUUGUUGGGAAAGAAAAGCAGCAGGUUAAUACCCCGCUGUUCUGACGGUACCCAAAGAAUAAGCACCGGCUAACUUCGU